rnacentral:rRNA from 1 species
CCCCUUAGAUGUUCUGGGCCGCACGCGCGCUACACUGAUGCAUUCAACGAGCCUAUCCUUGACCGACAGGUCCGGGUAAUCUUUGAAUCUGCAUCGUGACGGGGAUAGAUUAUUGCAAUUAUUAAUCUUCAACGAGGAAUGCCUAGUAGGCGCAAGUCAUCAGCUUGCGUCGAUUACGUCCCUGCCCUUUGUACACACCGCCCGUCGCUCCUACCGAUUGGGUGUGCUGGUGAAAUGUUCGGAUCGGCCGUUUGUCGCGGUUUCCGCGGCUCGUGGCUGAGAAGUUCAUUAAACCCUCCCACCUAGAGGAAGGAGAAGUCGUAACA